GGAUGCGAUCAUACCAGCACUAACGUAACGGAUCCCAUCAGAACUUUGAAAUGAAGCGUGCUUGGGCGAGAAUAGUACUAAGAUGGGUGACCCCCUGGGAAGUCCUCGUGUUGCAUCUC
rfam:Nicotiana sylvestris Nsyl_contig146604, whole genome shotgun sequence.